rnacentral:rRNA from 1 species
UCCCGAGCGUUNUCCGGAUUUAUUGGGCGUAAAGCGAGCGCAGGCGGUUAGAUAAGUCUGAAGUUAAAGGCUGUGGCUUAACCAUAGUAUGCUUUGGAAACUGUUUAACUNGAGUGCAGAAGGGGAGAGUGGAAUUCCAUGUGUAGCGGUGAAAUGCGUAGAUAUAUGGAGGAACACCGGUGGCGAAAGCGGCUCUCUGGUCUGUAACUGACGCUGAGGCUCGAAAGCGUGGNGAGCAAACAGGAUUAGAUACCCUGGUAGUCCACGCCGUAAACGAUGAGUGCUAGGUGUUAGGCCCUUUCCGGGGCUUAGUGCCGCAGCUAACGCAUUAAGCACUCCGCCUGGGGAGUACGACUGCAAGGUUGGAACUCAAAGGAAUUGACGGGGGCCCGCACAAGCGGUGGAGCAUGUGGUUUAAUUCGAAGCAACGCGAAGAACCUUACCAGGUCUUGACAUCCCUCUGAUCGCUCUAGAGAUAGAGUUUUCCUUCGGGACAGAGGUGGCAGGUGGUGCAUGGUUGUCGUCAGCUCGUGUCGUGAGAUGUUGGGUUAAGUCCCGCAACGAGCGCAACCCCUAUUGUUAGUUGCCAUCAUUCAGUUGGGCACUCUAGCGAGACUGCCGGUAAUAAACCGGAGGAAGGUGGGGAUGACGUCAAAUCAUCAUGCCCCUUAUGACCUGGGCUACACACGUGCUACAAUGGCUGGUACAACGAGUCGCAAGCCGGUGACGGCAAGCUAAUCUCUGAAAGCCAGUCUCAGUUCGGAUUGUAGGCUGCAACUCGCCUACAUGAAGUCGGAAUCGCUAGUAAUCGCGGAUCAGCACGCCGCGGUGAAUACGUUCCCGGGCCUUAUACACACCGCCCGUCACACCACGAGAGUUUGUAACACCCGAAGUCGGUGAGGUAACCGUAAG